rnacentral:rRNA from 1 species
AGUGAACGCUGGCGGUAGGCCUAACACAUGCAAGUCGAACGGCAGCACAGUAAGAGCUUGCUCUUACGGGUGGCGAGUGGCGGACGGGUGAGGAAUACAUCGGAAUCUACUUUUUCUUGGGGGAUAACGUAGGGAAACUUACGCUAAUACCGCAUACGACCUACGGGUGAAGGCAGGGGAUCUUCGGACCUUGCGCGAUUGAAUGAGCCGAUGUCGGAUUAGCUAGUUGGCGGGGUAAAGGCCCACCAAGGCGACGAUCCGUAGCUGGUCUGAGAGGAUGAUCAGCCACACUGGAACUGAGACACGGUCCAGACUCCUACGGGAGGCAGCAGUGGGGAAUAUUGGACAAUGGGCGCAAGCCUGAUCCAGCCAUACCGCGUGGGUGAAGAAGGCCUUCGGGUUGUAAAGCCCUUUUGUUGGGAAAGAAAAGCAGCAGGUUAAUACCCCGCUGUUCUGACGUUACCCAAAGAAUAAGCACCGGCUAACUUCGUG